AGUUCAAGUUUUGCAUAUCAAUAAGCGGAGGAAAAGAAACCAACAGGGAUUGCCUCAGUAACGGCGAGUGAAGCGGCAAAAGCUCAAAUUUGAAAUCCCCCCGGGGAGUUGUAAUUUGAAGAUUGCGUCUUGGAGGCGACCGUGUCUAUGUUCCUUGGAACAGGACGUCACAGAGGGUGAGAAUCCCGUGCGGCACGGCCCCCGGCUCCUUAUAAGGCGCUCUCGACGAGUCGAGUUGUUUGGGAAUGCAGCUCAAAGUGGGUGGUAAAUUCCAUCUAAAGCUAAAUACAGGCGAGAGACCGAUAGCGAACAAGUACAGUGAUGGAAAGAUGAAAAGCACUUUGAAAAGAGAGUGAAACAGCACGUGAAAUUGUUGAAAGGGAAGGGCAUGCCGUCAGAUUGUCAGUGUGGGUAAGAAGCGGGGUACAAAGACUGUGGAACGUGGCCCUCGGGUGUUAUAGCCGCAGUUCAUGCCCCGUCUCUUUCCGAGGCCUGCUUUGAGGACACCGACGUAAUGACGGUACGCCGCCCGUCUUGAAACACGGACCAAACCGGUUGGAGG
rnacentral:rRNA from 1 species